rnacentral:sRNA from 1 species
AAAUAGCCCUGAUUGGCGUGGAAAUACUUUUUGUUUUUAUAGCUGCGAAGGGAUCCAACCAUCUUGCUUAUUAGAUCCCUCGAAACUCGGGAUAACAAAAUGCCCAACAAAAAGAUUGGAACAAAAAGCAGGACUACCA